GUUCACUUUGUCAGAACAUAUACAAAACUUGGAAUGAUACAGAGAAGAUUAUCAUGGCCCCUGGGAAAGGAUGGCAUGCAAAUUCAUGAAGCAUUAUAUAUUUUA
ensembl:snRNA U6 U6 spliceosomal RNA